CAUCAGGUGAAGAUGUGCGUGAUUUCACCAAGGUGCUGAAAAAUAACUUCAGAUCAAAGAAAUACUUUGCCAAACAUCCUCGCUUGGGUUAUUUACCACUACAAACAGUCCUAGAAGACGAGGAAAUAUUAGUGAUGCAAUGAAGAGUUUGAUGAUAAAAUAUAAUUACUGUUACGGUUUCCUCUUGGACGAAAUAUUCUCAUCAAAUUGACUGGUCAAGGAAAUGGGACACUGACUGUGAGUACUUUGAGUGUUUAAGUGAUUCCUAAAAUGAAAAUUAUGACCUUGAUUUCUCUUGCAUGCAGAUAUGAAGAGACUAUUUUAAAAAUCCUCUCGGUUCGUGGUUCAGGCAUAAAGGUGUCACAUGUAUAUUUAUGUAUAUACAUGUACAUGUGUAAUCUGAAAAGAAAAUGACGAUAAAUCACUUGUUACAAGUUCCUCAAGCUUUAGCAUAAACUGGUGGAGACUUUCGGCGCUUGCAAAAAGGCUCACCUCUCUGUUAAUACUGAAGGAAAAUUGGAGUUUAAAAAACCAUACGAUUACACUAAUUUUGAUGAGGAAUUUAAAGAUUAUGAGCCCCGUCCGUUUGACCCGCAGUUUGGCACCAUAGGUUGGCACGAUCUUCGUUCGAGAAGGAAGAGGGAUGUUCCAGACACAGAAAAUCGUCAAACCAUUUACUACAAAGUCUGUUUCUGCUUAGUAUUAAUUAAUGCAGUUAACAUUUUCAGAUCGACAUGAUUGCAGAAUGGAGUCAAUAAAACAAAUUCCAUCUGAUAUUCAACAUAAAUUUUAAGUUUAGAAUAACAAGCUCACAAGAGCUUGGUUUUAGAUAUCACUUGGGACCACAGACUAACAGACAAAGGAACAAAGCAAAACGACUCUGCGAUUUGAUGUAGAAACUCCUGACUCCGAAGCCUGCAGCCGCCCUCCAAUUCUCAAGUCAGAAGUGUGCCAAUGAUGGUGCAGAUCCAACAACACUGGAAACGAUCUUGAGUCUAGACCAAAGCAGCCCCUUGAUUGGCACCGUAUCCAUUCUCUCCACAACCAACUCCAAGACACAAUAAUGUGUCCAUAUACAAGAUGCACUGCCACAUUUUUUUCCAACUAUUCUUACACCCGCCUUUCCAGACUUAGAAAACUCAUCUUCAAGGUCAAGGACAUCAGACAUGGUAGCACUAAUCCCAGUAAAAAUCACCUCCAAGCUACUCUCAAACUUAUUUGGAAAUGAAUGAUUGUUCCUGAGUCAAUAUUAGUAAUCUCUUUUGGAACAGCAUUGUGGGUCUGUGUACAGCAACAUGAAGCUGUUCAAGAAGUCAAUUUGUGCUGGACAAUCAGCAACAGCUAUGUCUCAUUAAAGAAUAAAUAAAUCGGAAAGAAAUCCAUCUGAGAGUCACAAGCAAAUGGGUAACUUUUUUUUGUUCACUCUGCAGCUCGUGGGCUAUUACCAAUUUUGACAAUGACAAAUGAAGCUUUUGUUUGGUUUGCUAUUGAUAGCAGCUGUCCACAAAAUAAAAACAAUUGGCAUCAGAGAUAAUGGGAACUGCAGAUGCUGGAGAAUCCAAGAUUACAAAGUGUGGAGCUGGAUGAACACAGCAGGCCAAGCAGUAUCUCAGGAGCACAAAAGCUGACGUUUCGGGCCUCGACCCUUCAUCAGAAAAGAGGGAGGAGGAGAGGGCUCUGAAAGAAAUAGGGAGAGGGGAAGGCAGAUUGAAGAUGGAUAGAGGGGAAGAUAGGUGCAGAGGAGACAGACAAGCAAUAAGGAAGGAGAGGAUCAAAUAUCAAGGUAGGCUAGCUAGUCAUAUCAGAAAUCAUAGUAACGGCUUCUUUCAAUACAUAAGAAACAAACGUGAGGCAAAAGUAGACACUGGGCCACUCCAAAUUGAUGCUGGAAGGCAAGUGGUGGGAGAUAAGGAAGUAGCUGAAGAACUUAAUAAGUACUUUGCGUCAGUCUUCACAGUGGAAGACAUGAGUAAUAUGCCAACAAUUAGGGAGAGCCAGGGGGCAGAGCUGAGGAUGGUAGGAAUUACAAAAGAGCAAGUGCUAAAAGAGCUAAAAGGUCUAAAAAUUGAUAAAUCUCCUGGCCCCAAUGGGCUAUAUCCUAGAGUUCUGAACAAGGUGGCUGAGGAAAUAGCAGAGGCUUUGGCUAUGAUCUUUCAAAAGUCAGUGUAGUUUUUUUUUGAGUGCGAGCAGCAGCGGAGGCAAGACGGACCCGGAAGACUGCAGCUAAGGUAAAGCAGUUUAUUUUGAAAAUUACUUACCGAUAGCGGGCAGCGGUGUUUUUCCUCUUUCAGAGAAGGAGCGGGAGCAGCAGAGGAAGUGACGAGGACCAGAGGGGCAGCCGGGAAGGAAAGCAGUGAGUAUAAAUACUCACCCUUCGACGCCAACGGCCAUUAUGAGUGCGAGCAGCAGCAGAGGCAAGAUGGACCCGGAAGACUGCAGCUAAGAUGCGGAUAAAGUUCUCCAAGCUGACAGAAAUUGAAAGCACUCGCAUCCUGUGACGAUGGGGUAGGAGUGGAAGAAUCAGAGUGUUUCUUUGAAAAUUGGCUUGAUGUGUCUGUCCAAGGGUCAUCUGGAGGAAAAAAUACAAGUAUAUCUUCAAACAAGUAGCUGAACCCACAGAUUUAUGUGACCAACGAAGCCUGAGCCUUUUGCUUCACGAUGCAGUCCAGAUCCCUCGGCAGCUGGGUGAGGUAGCUUCAUUUGGAGGCAGCACCAUUGAACCAAGUGUCCGCAGUUGCUCCCAACAUGCACUCAGACAUGAACUAAUGGAUAAGGAGGAGACAAUCAUAACUGCUUUGGAUUCAGCCCAUAGAAGGGCCAGAGGAGCCGCGCUGACACCUUCAUGUUUAAACAGAGGACACUUUUCUGCAUGCCACGAGAUGUAUAUCAGCCAUACCAAAAUGCUGCCUUUGCCUGAGACAGGGAAGAUCAACUGACUUUGGGGAAAUGGAGAAUCAUUCAUGAAUCCAGUUACUUUCUGAUCUGACAGCUUUGUGGCAUCUGAAUGGAUAACAAUUUGAUCUGGUAAUCUCAAUUGAUAGAGUGCAAAUGUGUAGUGAUGCAUUUUGGGAGCUCUGGUAAGUGAAAGAUGUUCACAAUGACUAGUAGAUCCCUAGAGAGCACUGAGAAACAAAGGGACCUUGAUGUCCAAAAGCAAGAGUUCAUGCCCUCUGCUUCUGGCCUUUCAGGCAAAGUUGGAUCCAACACUCCACUGAGUC